UAGAGUUCGGUUGUCAGACUCCACCAAAGCCUCCCCCAAUUUUUUUAUGUUUUAAGUACUUCAAGGCUUCGAGAACCCCUAGGGUUUCCAGCUGAAGAACCGUUUCCGCCCGAAUGAGCUUCGUGAAUCCAUCGACAAGGCUACCGGAGGAGUCCUGGACGAUGCAAGACACUACUCCUUUCGUCGAUCCCUCACAUAGCGACCCAUCUACAUUAAGCUUAAAGGAACCGGCUUCCAGAGCUUGCCAGAUCUAUCACUUUGCAGGCAUCCGGUUUAGUACCUCGAAAAAUAAAGUUGUUGUGCUCCUUCCAUAUUUGCCAAAGAAGGUUUCCAAUCGUUUCCAGAGAUGGGAGGUUCGUAUUUUUUCUUAUAAAUUGUACCAAUCACUCAUCCGUUCGUUUAACCUCCUGUGUGUCUACUCAUAGGUUGAUUUCCAAGUGGUUCCAUACCCUUGCAGUCCAGGGAUAGAGAAGAAGAGUGUGUUCAACCGUUUCCACCCUAUCUCAGCAAAGAUCACAGACCAGAUCAUGUUUGGCAAUAUCUUUAAGGGUGGACAUUUGUCCAUGUAUAUGCUUUGGCAGGACAAGAAAUUCUCCAGACUCAAUGUCACGAAGCUCAAUGUACCAGUUGUUUUUGGUCAAACAAUGGAGCAGUUGAUGUUCAACUCUUUUAGGGUCUCGAAGCACGACAAUUUUGGUAAUCUUUCCAGGGACUUACAUGACCAAAGAUCCAACUUUUCCGAGAACUUCAAUCUAUCAAGGCCUCAAAUCUCAAUUAGACUUUUGCAAUAUGCAGGCUUUAUGUCCUUUAAACGCUUUCAUUUUGCAAGGUUCAAUCUCAAAAUGGAUGUGCAAUCAGUGAUAUGCAGUGCUUCCAAGAACUCCGAACGAUAAAUGCCUCAAAUUUCAACUAGAUUUUUGCAAUAUCUAGCAGUCAACUGUUUAGAUGAUUUGGUUUUGGAAGGUCCAGUCUUCCAAUAAAACAACAGAAAUCUACAUCCAAUUCUUCCAAGUGCUUCAACCUGUCAAGACCUUGAACUUCGACUAGAUUGUCUUCCAUAUCUAAUGGAGUGCUUGAUCCAUAGUUCUCACUCAUUGGCACGCAUCUCAGGGACUCUGCACAUUGUCUAAGGCCAUCCAGCUUAGUCAACUUCAUGCGACCUGCUAUGGUCAACGUCGUUGGGGAUAUUGCAACGUGUCGGCGUUCGCUUUGCAUCAUUUUAGGGCAUUCAUAGGGCUCAAAUCCUAGCAAGCAUUUCAACUUGCCACAUCUUGUGACAUGAAGCUUCAAUAGUCUUGGAGGAAGCUCUGGGAGAUUUUCCAACGAUAUGCAAUCAUAAACAGUGAGUUCUCUUAGAUGAAUUUGGUAAAAAAGUGGAGGUAAAAACUCUUAGUGACUUGCAGAAAGUCUAACCUAGAAGGAAGCUCAGGCAGUGAUUGAAGCUUUUGGCAGCCCCUAAGUUAAGAUGUUGCAGAGAAGAAAGAUUCCGAGUGCCUUCUGGCAAGCCAGAAUCGGAUGUAUAUGUUGGAAGCUUCAUGAGUGAAGACAAGUUAUUAAAAUCACUUGGAAUUUCCCCUUUUAUUCUAAUGCAACUUGAAGCAUCCAAUUGCGGGAGUUUCCCCAACCUUCCAAUUGCACCUCGCAACUUUUCGAUCCUGGUAGAAAAAAUCUUCAGGAUUUCCAAAUUAUGCAAAUCUCCAAUGGAAGAUGGUAGUUACGUUACGCUUGUGCUGGAUAGGUCGAGUUUAGUUAGGGAUUCCAUCUUCCCAAUGGAGUUUGGGAUCUGUGUCGAUGGGCAGCAGAGUGUAGAAGUCGCGCACAAAUGGUAAGCUCUGCAACUUCUUAAGGUGCCCAAUGUUGCCUGGAAGUUCGGCCAUUCCCUCACAAUUGCAUAAAUUCGAGGAUCAAUAGAUUCACUGGAUGGCUUAUGGAGU